GCACGCCGUCGUGCUAGAAUCCUAAACCAGCCGAAAAAUUCUAAAACCCUAAUUUUUAGCCCUUUUUGGGUAUUUCGGGAUAUAUGACGCGUGUUUUCAGUUUUUGCAAAAAAAAUCUAAGAAAUCUAGUAACAGCCAGAAAGUGCAGUGGAAAAUGCAAUAUUUCCAACGCUGGUCCGAUGUAAUAAUCCCUCACCAUUUACUCUAUUAUGGUGAAUUGAAGUUA
rnacentral:lncRNA from 1 species